AGUCAACGCUGGCGGUAGGCCUAACACAUGCAAGUCGAACGGCAGCACAGUAAGAGCUUGCUCUUACGGGUGGCGAGUGGCGGACGGGUGAGGAAUACAUCGGAAUCUACUUUUUCGUGGGGGAUAACGUAGGGAAACUUACGCUAAUACCGCAUACGACCUACGGGUGAAAGCAGGGGAUCUUCGGACCUUGCGCGAUUGAAUGAGCCGAUGUCGGAUUAGCUAGUUGGCGGGGUAAAGGCCCACCAAGGCGACGAUCCGUAGCUGGUCUGAGAGGAUGAUCAGCCACACUGGAACGGGGACACGGUCCAGACUCCUACGGGAGGCAGCAGUGGGGAAUAUUGGACAAUGGGCGCAAGCCUGAUCCAGCCAUACCGCGUGGGUGAAGAAGGCCUUCGGGUUGUAAAGACCUUUUGUUGGGAAAGGAAAGCAGCAGGUUAAUACCCCGCUGUUCUGACGGUACCCAAAGAAUAAGCACCGGCUAACUUCGUG
rnacentral:rRNA from 1 species